CCUACGGGAGGCAGCAGUGAGGAAUAUUGGUCAAUGGGCGCGAGCCUGAACCAGCCAAGUAGCGUGAAGGAUGACUGCCCUACGGGUUGUAAACUUCUUUUAUAAAGGAAUAAAGUGAGGCACGUGUGCCUUUUUGUAUGUACUUUAUGAAUAAGGAUCGGCUAACUCCGUGCCAGCAGCCGCGGUAAUACGGAGGAUCCGAGCGUUAUCCGGAUUUAUUGGGUUUAAAGGGAGCGUAGAUGGGUUGUUAAGUCAGUUGUGAAAGUUUGCGGCUCAACCCCGGCGAGCCGUUGAAACUGCGUGGCUGGAGUGCAGGAGGGGCAGGCGGAAUUCCUGGUGUAGCGGUGAAAUGCGUAGAUAUUAGGAGGAACACCAGUGGCGAAGGCGGCCUACUGGACGGUGACUGACGCUGAGGCUCGAAAGCGUGGGGAGCAAACAGGAUUAGAUACCCCUGUAGUC
rnacentral:rRNA from 1 species